GUUCUAUUGGGGAUUUAGGUCUCCAAGACGACAGUUAAUAAAAUUAAAAUUAUUCUGCAUCUGUGUCAGGCAAGUUUCAGGUAGACCAGGACACGCUUAUACAAAAAAUAUAUGAAUACUAGAAUCUCAGGUACUUUUAGUUUAAUUAUACCGGCGCACUGCAUAAGGAUAAUGAUGUGUCUAGAAAGAAUGGGAGAGGCAGAAAGAGCUAUAGUUAGGGGAGAAAGUCAGUGGAAACAAAGAGAUGGUUAGAAAGUGACAGAGAGAGUGGCACUGAUGAAGAGAUGUGAUAGAGAGCCAAGAGGCAUACACAAAGGGAGAAGCUAAAGGGCAGACAGAAGAAGACAGUGAUGAGGACACAGAAAGAAAUGCUGGGGUAAUGUGACAUCAAGCUCACAGAUACAAGCAAGAGUCUUGUUCCACACAGUGACAUCUCCUGAGUUCUUGGAACUCCUUCCUUAGCCCCAUGUCUUCUUACUGGUAUGAAAUAUAAUUCAUAUUCUCCUUCUGCCUCUUUCCCAUACUAUGUAUGAAGCCCACCACAUGACAGUGUCCUUUAUUUUGUUUCUGGACACAGUUCAAGCACCCAGAAGCAUGAAUUGAUGCACAUUAAAUAUCCACUACAUAUUGAAAUAACAGCAGUAAGUGGCAGUUAGUGACACUGGCUGAGGUUAACGUGGGUGAGGAAUGGCAGUGUUCUAAGUCAGUGUUUUCUGAACUUUAAGAACUAUAGCUAAGUUUUACCGUAACUCAACUGCUUGGCUACCUGGUUUUCAAGAAAAGGACUGGACACGGACUUUGAUGCUAAGAGAGCAUUCCUCCCGUUGUAGUGACUGAGAACCUCAGCCUCUGUAGCAACUGAGGUAAUCUGCUUCAUCCUUCUCUUCAAGAGUACUGUUGACCUCACUGUUUCUGUAUAAGAUCUUGUAGCUUAAAGUCGGUCACAGUGUAUUGUUGGAGACUAAGAGUUCUGAUACUUUGAGCUUCCUCUGCCUUCACUUUAAACAUUCAUAUUGAAAUGAUCAUACUUUCACAGGAAUUUGUGAAGAAAUAGUAAGAUUCUCAAGCACCCAUCAUCCAGUCUCCCCACACAUGAGCACCUUCGUAACUACAGUACCUUGGUGUUAAUACAGAGUACCAGGCUCAUUCACAUUUCAUCACAGAUGCAAUUACAUGUUCAUGUGUACAUACAGCUCUACACAACUAUAUCUCAUGUACAGAUUCAUAUAAACACCACCCAAAUCAAGUUUUAAUUAUCCCAUCAGCACAAGUCUCCUUCUGAGGAUCAGUCCCUUAGUGACUGGCUUUUGUCAACUUGACACAAACUAGAGUCACCCAGAAGGAAUUGAGAGGGAAACUCAAUUGAGGAAAUACCUCCACCAGAUGGGUUAUUGGUAUGCCUAUGGGCUGUCUUUUUUAAAUUAUUGAUUGAUAUGGGAAGGCCUAGCCCACCAUGGGUGGUGACAUUCCUAGGCAGGUGCUCCUUGGAGGUAUAAGAAGGGUAGCCUGGAAACAAAUCAGCAACAUUCCUUCAUGGCCACUGUUUCAGUUCAUGCCUCCAGAGUCCCUGAGCUCCUGCCCUGGAUGAUAGACUGUUAACUGAAGUAUAAACCAAGUAAUCCCUUUUCUCCUCGAGGUAUUUUAUUCAGGUUUAUCAUAGCAUCAGAAAGGAGACCAAAACAGUCCCUUUGUAAAGAUACUCUAGAGUCAGGUAAACCUUGCUGCAGUACAUCACCCUCAGACUUCUGGCUGAAUAAGGACUUUGGGAGUGGAAAGGUCACACCUGAUAUUAAACUUCGGUCACCAUGGUAAGUUCAACACUUAGUCUUGUUUGCAUUGACUUCCAGGGAGUCUCCAAGGAGAAAAUACCUUUCUUCUGCAGCUUCAUUUCUACCUGUAUCAUCUCAUGCACAAGGAGCUCUAGACUACACAGCAGGACAUAUAAAAGGCUCUUUAGAUGUGAAAGAAUAUCAUGAAGCCGUUAGCCAACCAGCCUGACUAGGGAGGGUGACCUUUGUUGCAGGUGACCAGGGAGGCUGGCCUUUGUUGCAGGUGACCAGUGAGGGUGGCCUUUGUUGCAGGUGACCAGGGAGGCUGGCCUUUGCUGCAGGUGACCAGGGAGGGUGGCCUUUGUUGCAGGUGACCAGGGAGGCUGGCCUUUGUUG
rnacentral:lncRNA from 1 species